GCGGGUGUAGCUCAGUUGGUAGAGCGUCAGCCUUCCAAGCUGAACGUCGCCGGUUCGAAUCCGGUCGCCCGCUCCG
rnacentral:tRNA from 1 species